CCACAGUAGCUCAGUGGUAGAGCUAUCGGCUGUUAACCGAUCGGUCGUAGGUUCGAGUCUUAUAACACUCUGAC
rnacentral:tRNA from 1 species